rnacentral:lncRNA from 1 species
CUUUUGUAACUUUGUAAAUAUAGAGCAAUGAUUCUGGAGGCGGAUCGUCUUCUGAUGAGAAUGGAAGCAGUGUAGAUGCAGUUGAAUCAAGCGAUAGGAGAACGGAGAGGAUAGAAGCUGAUGACGGUGAAGAAGAUGAAAGAUCAGCAGAAGAAGUUCAAAGAAUGUUAAACCGAGAGAAACGAUCGAACAAAAGGUUACAACGGAAGCUCGACCAGUCGCAGGAAAGGGUUACCAUUCUGGAGCAAGAAGUCAGGAUUCUCACCCAAGAUUUGGAAGCUGCAGAGGAUGAGCUAGACCAAGUGAAGGAUGAGAAUCGAGCAUUACUAAAAGCAUUGGCCAAGCUAGGCAGUUAGGCCAUGGUUACAUAGCCCCCUCUAUUGGCAGAACAGAGAAUAUCUGAUAGCAACUCAAUCACAAGGACAAGCUCAAGGUCAAGUACAAGGACAAGCACAAUGACAAAGACAAGGGCAACAGCAAUGAUCUUUUUUCCCUACGUAGAUAAUAAUAAUAAUAAUAAUAAUAUUCUGUUCUUGUAUAGUGCAUAUCACAUUAUAUAACGUCUCAAUGCGCUUCCAAAGAGCUUUGGAAAUUACCACCCUAGCUUUAGCACCGCCUACCGAUAUCGGCGCACAGUGCAUUUCAAGGAAUAAUCCUACCAGGUGCCCAUUUACCUCACCUGGGUCGAGUGUGGCAAAUGCAGAGAGCCCCCAAGGGCCCCCAAGGGCUGACAACGAUGUAGUGCAUUUUUAUUUGAGCAUUUUUUGGUGACAGGGUUGUGUUUCAAGCAAUCUAGCAUUUAUUAAAAGUGUUGCCUAAAUGUACAUUUUGUCCGUUUGGAGCCAGAAGAAAAACCGAAGGGCGUUAACUCAAAUACAAUGUAUUUUUACACAGAGUUGAUGCUGUUACGGCCACCAACAGGUGAUAUGUCAUGGUGAUAUAUGUAGAUUAAAGGAUGUAAAGCUCGCCCACUUGAUGAAUGGAUGUAAAUAAAUUUACAGCAAAAUAAAAUGUGUUUUAUCGACAAUAUCAUAGGCAAAAUUUCAUGCUUUUUACAAUAAAAGACUUAGGUUGGAACUAAGGUUGUAUUAAGAGCCAGAAAGAUGUUAACUCUGCCUUUAAAAAUUCUGAGCCGACUCUUUUAAAGUAAAAGAGUGAAAGGUUGCCUGGAUUGUGCUGUAAAACAGAACACUCUAUCUUCUUUAGAUAUGAAGUUUGUCUGUUUGAAUUAUUCACAUUUAAUUCAUCAAAUGUGUGAAUGUUUUACAGAUAUUAGUCCUCAGUUGUCACCAUACUGUAUUAAAACCCCACUGCUCUAGUUUAGCCAGGAGGGAUUAGACUUCUCAGCGUGGUCACUGACAGGUGGUUAUCUCAUCAAAUCAGUUCUCAAUUAACAUAAAAAAGGAGAGGAUCAUGGGGGACCAAUGGUCACUGAUUAGGCAUUGUUGGCUAUAUAGAGGGCACAAGUAGCUAUACGAAGUGCAUUGGGGCUUUAAAUGUCAUUAUACUUGUUUCACAGAAAAGGAGAAAGAGAGAGGGAGAGUUCACAGAAAAAAUAUUCUUUUGCUAUCAGAUAUUCUCUACUGGGUUUAUAAAUACAUGUAAAUACUUCUUGUUUAAUAGUACUAAAUAUUAAUACAACGUGUUGCCAAAAAAGUGAUGAUCAUGUACAAAUAUUGAAUUCAGGAUUUGUACUCAGGCAGCGUAAUUUCUCAUCUAUUUUCGUAUCGAUUGGUGAAACCAAUAUCUCCCAAGACAUGCUUCUUUUCAUGUUACUUUUCAUGGUACUAAACAUAAGACAAAGUAUCAACUUCUAUUUUUAAUAAGAAUAAUAUUGUUGUCUUUCUCUUUCUUUCAUCUUUACUCUUUUUUUUUAAAUCCUAAAAUGGAGCAAAAUCUCUAAAAUGAAACUUCUUUUAAUAUGAAACCUCUUAUUCAUUUGAGAUGCAUAUACUCACAUUGGAAUGAAGUGUUACUAACUCUGAAAGACAUGAGCACAUGAUAUUUCUCCUUAUCUGCUAUAUAUUGUCGUUUGAGAGCCAGUAGGUCAUUAUUUAAUCCUAUGCUGUUACAUAGAAAUUAACGUCCUUCUUGCUCCCAGGGAACAUUAGUUGGGUAUUUACUAUUUAGGGUAUGCACACGUAUUUUAUAUGUCACAGGUUUGCAACGCAAUGUAAAGUAUAAUACUAUGUAGUCACAUACUGUCUGUCUGGAGCCAGAAGGGCAUUGAUUCAUAUAUCUUAAAGAUAAAGUUGAGUUCUAGUCAUACGAUUGCAUUAUAAAAGAAACUGAGUUGAAGGGAUUUGAAAAGGUUGAAUAUGUAACAGCUAUGAAUUGGUGCAUAAUCUGAGGUUUCAGAAUCAUCAAAAUGAUAAGAAAUUGGUCCAGUCUUGCUAAAAGCCACGUCCAUUGAACACAUCAAUAUCCUUAUGGGACUACACAAACAUGUGGCAUGAUAGUGCGGUCCACAGCCUUUAGCUGUUACUUGACAUAUCUUGAAUAUAAGCGUAUUUGAAGAGCCAUUAUUUUCAGGGAACACUUUUUCUAUGAUACUCUUCAAAACUUUUAAAAAGAAUAACAAAUCUCACAAAUUGUUAUUUUUUUCCGCUCCCAGAAGUCAACCUUCUCCUUAACACAGUGUUAAUACCCAUCUGGCUCUCAACAGACUAUCGGUAUACUAUGGUUUAACUGCCUAGCAGCUCAGUUUGGGCUAGAUUUGAAGGUUUUAGGAAUAUUUAAUGUUUGGAAGUAAGUUUCCUUGUCUGUGUGAUAACAUUAGAUUCUUUAUAUAUUUAGCUUUGUUAGUGAUAGAAUAAAUAAUUAAUAUAGAUUAUUUAAAAAGAGAAUUCUUUUCAUGAAUACGGUUGACAAACAAAAAUUCUCUGUCGAGAGUAUAUCGUAUUAAACCUCAUUAGUACUAAUUAGAAAUUAUUCAUAAAUUGUUAAUAAAGUGUACAUAGUAUGUACAUGAUAGUCGUUAUAAUCCAGAAUAUGAAUAAUAUGCAAGAACAUCUAUUUUAAUUUGUAUAUCACAGUUGCAGUGAAUCAGUGACUUAUACUUUGUUCCUUCUUAUCUCAAAACUUUUCACUAAAUAAUCACUUAACAACAUCUGUAUUUUAACUUUAAAUUUUAAACAUUUUAACAUUUUCUAUUGGCAUGUUAUACUCUAAUCAAGUUAAAGGACAAUUUUUUGGGCAAUACCCAUUUGCAAUGAGUUGAUAUAUAUAGAAAAAAUAUAUAAUAUUGUGAGUGAUUCUUUGUUCGUAUUUAUUAGGCACGUGCGAUGAAAAAGCCGUGUGUAGCAUGUGUGUUUUGAAAUUAAUCUUCAAUGUUGAGAUGCGUGUUUGGAAACGAACAUCAUUGAUUAUCUUUGUACUAAUAGUCUUCUUCUCAGAGGACGCAACUUUUUUUUUUUGCUUCAGGAGACAUGGCCGUUAUUAUUCAUGAAGAUGCAUUUGAAUUGACAAGAGUUUUUGAAGAUGAUAUGAUCACGAAGACUUUCAAGAAAGGGGCUUUAAAUACACAGGAAAGCGUGACCACUCGAAAGAAAUAAAGGGGAUUAUAUCUUCAAAAAUUCUUGUGAAUUUUAUGCAUACACAUAUUUUGUCCUUUUUCACACUAUAAGUGGAAGAAAAAAUAUUUGGGGUGCAUUUAUUUUCAAGUUUGAUUAGUUACAUUGAAAGUAGUACUGUAUUUUAUUCCUAUUUUUAUGUAAUUUCGAAGGAAAUAGAUAAUUUACGUCAUUCAAAAAAGGAAAAUAACUAUGUUUCAUCGGCUAGUUGCAAUCUCAUUUUUAUUUAAACUUCAGCAUGAUUUUAAUCUCUCCCCUGUAACACUUGUGCAGAUCGUCUCUUAAAAUUUUCCCAUCAUUUGCAUCACAUUAUCAAUUUUUUAAACAUUGAAAUUCAUUGAGCUAUUGAUUUCAUAGAGGGAUUCUUGGUUGUUUUUUUUUUUUUUGAGUGAAAGAUUUAGUAAUUGCAAACUUUAUUUGCUUGCAUCCAAAAUUUGCCAAAGAGAGAGUUCUCAGGUUCUUCUGAAAUCACUCAAACUUUGAAGAGUCUCUUCUUCAAAAGGCUUCACAGAUCUGUGAAAAAACCUGUGUUUGGGUAUUUUCCUAGAAAGAUUUUUUUUUAAAACUAUUCACCAAAGAGAGAACUGAAUCUUGUCACGUUCAUGCUGCCUUUGGGCAGUGAACUAUAGAUCCAGUAUAACCAUAUUCCAAGUUAACAUUCUUGGGGGAAAAAAAACUUUAUGCAUUUUCAAACAGAAAUAAAUAAACAAGAACUGUAAUAUUAAGGUAUUUUUGAGGUGGUAUAGAACAGUUUACUCAAUAGAAGAGCUUUGUUGUGUUUGGGAAUAAUCGGUUGUUAUACAGUGGCAAAUUAUAAAACAAACCAAACAACUGGUCAGUAUCACGAAUGUAUAUUAUAUGCCAUCUGUGUGAGCGUGUAGAACGUGAGUCUUGGUCAGCAGUUCAGUCAACUAUACAUGUACCAUUUUAUCCAACAAUAUCGCAUCAUCAUUUUUCAAAUUCGACACUAUAUCAUCCUUUCUUUUAUCAUCAGUGAGAUCUUCUUUCUGUAUUUCCAUACCAUGUGAGUUUUAAGUCUUUUGUCAAAUCAUUUUUAUUUCAUUUUACUGUCCUAAUCGGAAAAUUCAUCCAAUUAUCAGUUCAAAUUCUUCUCCAUUAACACCACUCCCCUCCUGUGUGAGCUAUUAUUCGCAAUAUAACUUUACUUAUUCAAUAUUUAUUUAUGUACUUUCCUUAAUGUUUCAGUGAUCUAGAUCUUCAUGCAAUAUUCUUUUUUUAAAGUCUCAACUGCAAUACUAAUGAUUUUCAAUUAAACUUUGGUAGGGGUCGCCCUUUCAAAGGCCUUACAUUUAAAUACGUCAUAUGUUUUUGUAGUUGUUGCUGUACUUUUUCUCUUUGUAACAGUAAUAUAAUAUGGUAUUUAUUCAGCCUAUUUGUAUAUAUAUAUAAUCACCUUCUGUUUUUGAUGCAUAGAGUAAGGUUUAAGUUCUUGUUUUCUUUUCGUGUUCGCCGUUGUAAAUACUGUGUUGGAAGCAUGAUAUGGAUGUUAGCGAGGCAAUUUUUCUAGAUCAGAUUUGACUGUUUUCAACUUAUUUGCAUGUAUCUCGUAUUGAAUGUUCUAUAAUUUAUUUAUCAUGUUUGAAUGAAUGUGUUAUCUUUGCGAAACGAAAAACAACAUACGCCUUCACUUGGUAAAUAGAAUCAUCACCCAAAACGAGGUUAACUUUCAGGCUUUUCAUAAAUAACAUUAAAUACCCAUCAUUAGCAAUUCCUUUUCCUCAAAAGAAAGGAUAUCAAUACAAAGUCUGGUAGUAUGGCAUCAAAUAAUAUAGCAUAGAUACCCAUACUAACGGAUGGAUGAAUAUGAAUCAUGGAUUAUCCUCGGAGCUGCUAAUAAUAGGCAUCUUGGGAAAUGAAACAGAGUCGGACUAUUCACUGAUUCGGUAAAUACUUACCUAGGACGGAUUAAAAAUUGAGUCGCUGCUGUAUUAGCCAGGCUCUAUCUCUCCAUAACAGCUUGGAUACAGCAGCGACAGGUCUCGAAACGGAAAUCUUUUUGGAGCCAUUCAGAGCUGACGCCCUUCUGGCUCCGAACAGACAGUGUUAUCUUGCCAAUUAGCAGAGAGAUAAUACCAUUCGAUUGUAUGCGGGAAGUCUUUAAUAUGCUCUUCAUAUUCAUCACAGUAGAAAUGACUGCUCCCCUUCACACACACCUUUUUCACCACUCUUUGGGAUUUCCCAUUACAUUGUCUUGACUCAUAACAAAACUUUGCUCAUCAAUAAUAGAGUCAUCGUUUCCUUAGUACCAAAUCUGAUUUUUAUUUGAAUGAUUUGUUUAGGUUCUCAUUUGUUUCAUCUGGGCUAGGGAGGGGGUGCUGGGCAAUAGCAAAGGGGCACCUCAAAAGACAUUAACGUUAAGUCUGUGACCUUUCCUGAAAAUUGUCCUCCUUAUUGGUAAGGAAGCAGAUCCAGAAGGGCAUGGACCCGUGUAUUCUUUAACACAUAUGCCACUUUGGCUCUAUAGGCUCGGACUCAAAGCACACAAUGACACAAUGCGUUUACAAUAAUUGUUUUUCCUUUUUAUGGCAUUUCUUUUUUGUUACUUUGGACAUAUUAUCUGGAAAGCAAAUUUGACUGCUGGUGGCAUUAUUAUGCUACAUGUAGACCUUUAGAUUUUGGUGGCGUUCGGUUUCUCAAAGAAGAUAUAGUGUCUUGAGUUUAAUUAUUGUAGACGGAAGCAAAUAGGUUCAAAUUGUCUAAAUGUAUAUUGCGAGAUGGUUUCGUCCCGAUCAAACUCACAACGAGCUUCUAUUUAUAGUAGAAAUGCAUGUAGAUCAUGACUGAAAUUUGCAGAAUUCUUUUCUGCAUUUAUUCCAACAUUUUUCAGUGGUUUCUGCCUCCUUUUUUUUUUAGCUAACUCUUUUGUGGUGUAAGUGCAGCUUUGCGCAUUCGAGACUGUUUAAAAUCAAACAUAGUUUUGGAUAUGCAAAGUUUUUUUAAACAAAAAGUUAGCGGUUCUGUUAUUUUUUUUAAUUUAUAAAAUAUUUAUAAAAUCAUCUCAGUGACGCGUUUGAGGUUUAUAUUUUCUCUGACCCCGAUUAAUACAUGAGUUUUAAUGAGCAAAAAUGGUACAAAGUGGUUUGUAUAAUCUAUUCAAAUUAUGUCCCGACGGCUUUUUUAAAUCUAGGGCAUGCAGGUAACCAUUGAAUGAUGUUGGAAUCAAACAUUUUCAAGCAAAACUAUGUUGAAUAAUUUGUACAUCUUUUUUAUCUGUCUUUCCAUUUUGACAUUUAAAAUAAAGAUUUACAAAGAAGCUUAGAAAGAUUUUAGAGUAGUUAAAACAUUCGCCAAACAUCUCUGCAGUAUUAUUUUUUUUGCUAGCACGACAAAACUUAUGAAAUCUAUUGAAAUACAUGUAGCGUUUGUCUCUAGAGUCGAAAAUACUUUUCAAGAUUUGUGUCGAGUUCUGACGAUGAAAUGCCAUCAAAAUGAAAUGCAAUAGGGAACAUGCUUGGUGUCCAAACUCAUUUCAAGCUUGAGGAGUAUUGAAUGAAAAAGCUAUUAAGUAAGGAUACAGCAUUUUGAUGGAUGACAUUUAUCAUGUUAAAAUGUUGAGACUACAUCACGAUUGCGCUGAUUAUGCGAAUGAAGUUUUUACGUCUUGAAUAACACUUUUCCCUCAAAAAGCCUAUAUCUCCAAUACCUUGGCAUGAAAGAAUAUCAAGUCACUACACGUACGAUGCACACUGCACGAAUAUUUUCAGUCGCAAAGUACCUUAUCUCGUUUACUCGGCACGUUUGGUAACUGUUCAUCCUAGUUGUGCGUGUGCAGUGCUUUCAAAUUUAACUUUCUUUUUUUAAUUUAUGUUUUGUUUUUGAAGUGCUUCAUAGAUUUAAACUAUUUGAUUGUGUGAGUGUUAAUCAAAAAUAUAAUAUGACAAAGCCAGAUGUGAUUGAGUAGUAGAAGUUAAAGAUUGAAUGUUGUUUUUAAUAAGUAUUAUCCUAAUGUAUAUACUAAUGUAUUUCGUUAUGUUAUUAAUCAAAUGUAUUCAAUCAGUUCGUAUGGUACAUACACUAUGUGAAAGGAUUAGGGAAUUCAAUGUACACUGUAUGUUAUUUUAAGGUUCUUUUGGUACAUUUAAUAUGUGAAAGGAAUACUCGGAACUUCAAUGUGUUUUUUCUUUCUCCUUUAUUCACUCAGUAAGUUUGUUUCGUUGAUGCAACAUGUGGAAGGAAUUGGUAACUUUAAUAUGUUUUUAUUUCAAUAUCAAUUCAAUCUUUCGUUCAUUUGUCCUUUCAUUCGUUCUCACAGUUAUUCAUGCAUUUUUACAUUCAUUCAUUCAUUCAUUUAUCUGUUCUUUCAUAUAAAGCACCAAUAUUCGUCUUCAACUGUUGUCUGUCGCAAACACAGAAUGUAUACGCGCUUCAAUCCGUUCGGAUCCAAAUUGAUCAGACAUAAUUUCCCUCUUGACGUAAUUAUAUUUAAGAUGUGUCCAUGGUUAUGGAAGGAAAUCGAAUCUUGGAAAAAGUAAAAUUAAUGGUACAUUGAUGUUGGGGUUAACUCAUGAUAUAUUUAUUCUUACAAACUAGGAUAUUUGAGACUACUGCAGUAAGUGUGAAUAACUAUGAUUUGUAGAAAGAUAAAUUGUACUGCUAACCAGUUUUUAUGCUGUUCUACAAAUCUUCUUUCUUGGGAUUUUUUUCUCUUGUGUGACGUCGAUAUAUUUCCCUUCAAAGAGAGUAAUAAAGUUUGCCAUGAAUCCUGAAAA